UACAGAGGUCUCAAGCGUUUGUUCGGAUUCAUUGGGCGUAAAGGGUGCGUAGGCGGCUUGUUAAGUCAGGGGUGAAAGUUUUCGGCCCAACCGGAAAAUUGCCUUUGAUACUGGCGAGCUGGAGUGCGUGAGGGGUGACCGGAACGAGUGGUGUAGCGGUGAAAUGCGUAGAUAUCUGGAGGAACACCGGUGGCGAAGGCGGCGUUCUGGACUGCUACUGACACUGAGGAACGAAAGCCAGGGAGCAAACGGG
rnacentral:rRNA from 1 species